CAGUCGCCGCGGUAACACGUAGGGUGCGAGCGUUAAUCGGAAUUACUGGGCGUAAAGCGUGCGCAGGCGGUUGUGUAAGACAGGUGUGAAAUCCCCGGGCUUAACCUGGGAACUGCGCUUGUGACUGCACAGCUAGAGUAUGGCAGAGGGGGGUGGAAUUCCACGUGUAGCAGUGAAAUGCGUAGAGAUGUGGAGGAACACCGAUGGCGAAGGCAGCCCCCUGGGCCAAUACCGACGCUCAUGCACGAAAGCGUGGGGAGCAAACAGGAUUAGAUACCCCCGUAGUCCCUGUCUCUUAUAC
rnacentral:rRNA from 1 species